rnacentral:lncRNA from 1 species
UUCUAAGCAGCAUUCAGUUUUCUUGGCUUGAACUUUUUCUAUCUCAAAGCAUAGUUCUUUAAGAAGCUUUUGAGAACUGAGGUUUUUCUUUGUGAGUUUGAUUGGAUGAAACCAUGGCUCAGGAGAGUAACCUAGUUUUGCAACAAGAAUUUCGUUCACGCCAUCAAAGAUGAGUUUUCGGUGAAGAUUUUUCUUCCAUUCAUAUCCUGCAUUUUGUUGCAUGAAUAUACUUGUCUUGUUGCAUAUACUUUUUAUCAUGAAUGAAGUGAAAUAAGUAAGAGUCAUUCAUUGAAGAAUAAAGCUUGGACAUCAAGUAUAUAUACAGAAAUGUAGGCGUAUAUUAGAUAAGAUACAUAAGCAUGUAGCAUAUAAACUAUACUCUAACUAACUCUAACUAACUAACUAUACUCUACAUAAGCUUGGAUAUCAAGACGAAUUAACAAAAUAUUUAAGACUAGUGUCCGAGAUCAUAACCCUAUUCGUUGACAACAACUCCCUAAUGUCAUAGGGGAAUCCGAAAUCAUUGAAGCAUUAAAGUACGUUAAUUCUAAGUGUCACAAUCAAACGUUAAAUAUGUCUAAAGUCACUACUUGAUCGAACAAUUAUCUUAGUUUUAGUUCCAAAACUUAGGGUUAAUAAUCAUUCACUACUUAAAAUCAAUUCACAACUUGAAGUCAUAGGUAAAAAUAAAAUCAGGAUUUCAGGUUUCUAACCUUCAUGACUCGAUUCAUGAAACUUGAAGGUAUUCAUGACUCAAGUCAUGGGUUCAAAAAAAUCAGUAUUUUCAGUUUUAAAGAGUAGAAAUCCAAAUUUUUAAAACUAAUCUCAUUUGAAUCUUAGAUUCAAAUAUAUACUUGUACCUCUAAUUGAUUCAUAUAUCUUGCAAAAAACAUUCCUCUCGUUUUGGACUUUCAAAACAAGUUUUCUAAAAACAAAGUUCUAGCUACCAUUCAAGCUACUUGGGUGAAAGUUUCUAUAGUGAGGAAAUAAACCAUAAAACACAAUGACAUUAUCAAAAUACAAAUAGAGACGAUUAGAAGAGAAGAGUCUGUAGUCUAUAAAUAGAGAGAUUGAGGAGUGCUUCAAAGAACUUGGAAAUAAAAAGACACAAAUUAGUUGUGUUAGAAGAAUUAAUGAAAUCCACAACAAAAUUCAGGACAAAGUUGAAAGGAAGGAAGAGGAACAAAUGUGUAUAACUCUCCUUCUUUUCAACUUUGCCCUGAAUUUUGUUGUGGAUUUCGUUAGUUCUUCUAACAGAACUAAUAUGUGUCUUUUUAUUUCCAAGCUCUUUGCAACACUCCUCAAUCUCUCUAUUUAUAGACUGCAGACUCUUCUCUUCUAAUCGUUAUUUUGCCUGAGCUUAAAGAAAUACCACCUUCCUCUUCGUCGUGAUUAUCAUUAAGUGAAAUCUUUGAUUUCUUAACAUAAAUAUGCAACGAAAAAUUGAAUUAUUUAAAAAAUAUUGUUGCCUAGACGAGAUCUAAAACAAUAAGUUGUCCAACAGCUUCUCCAUUUUUGAGUACCUUCUCAUAUUUAUAUUGGUUUUACUUUUUUUCUUUCUCUAUAUUUAUAUGUUAGUAGUCUAGUCCAAAAGAUAUUAUUAUAAAUUCUUUUGUGAUUUUUAUUUUGUUAGGUUAUGAAAUGCUAAUAAUAUUUUAUUGAAACUAGCCUCCUUCUCUUUGUCUAUUUUUGUAUCUUUGUUGUUGAUAUGCUAUCAGAGCUUCACUGUCUUAUGUCUACCUUUUCCCAUUCUCUUGACAUAUUUUGAAGAGCAUUGUCAUCGGUUGUUGUUGUUGAUACAAAAACUGCAACCGAUGACAAUGCUCUUCGAGAUAUGCCAAAAGAAUGGGGAAAAAGUGGACAUAAGACAAUGGAGCUCUAAUACCAUAUUAACAACAAAGAUAUAAAAUAGACUAAGAGAAAGAGACUAUGUUUCAAUAGAAUAUUAUUAACAUUGCAUAAUUUAACAAAAUAAAAAUUACAAAGAGAAUAUAUGAUAAUACCUAAUGGACUAGAGUACUUACUUAUAAAACCCAACACUUAAAUCCCUAUUAUCUAACAAUUACAAGGUUGUUUAGAUAUUAUUUAUUUGUCUAUGUUUUUUUUUAUAAGCAUUUAUUUGUCUAUGUUUAAUUGACAACUUGAUUUUGAAUUUGUUAGGGACAUUUUGAGAUAAUAAGCCUGUCAAAAAGAACACAUGCUUACAAAGAAUGGGUGCUCCCGAGACCGAAUUGGUGGACAAAGAAAUGAACUUAGUUCACCAGUUCUGUUACGGGGACAACCUCUCUUUGUAAGCAAGUGUGCUCCUAACAAGCUCAUUACCUCAAAAUGUCCCUAACAAAUUCAAAACCAAUUAAACAAAAAAUUAAACAUAGGCAGAUAAAUUAAUAACAUACUUGUAGUGACAGAUAGGUGAUGUAGAGAAAGAAAUAGGUAAAAGCGAUAUAAAUACAAUGUACUCAAUAAUGUCAAAAUGUAGAAUUGAUUAUAAGUUUAUUACUUGAAAUGUCUAUUAACAUAAGAGGGAUUAUAUAGUAAACAUUCUUAGGGGUGAUGGAUUUAGAUUGUUCUUAGGGUAAAAUUUUGAUAGCAGUUGAUUUAUUGCAAACAUAUUGAUGCUUGUAUCCAAAUUUCUACUAGCAUUAACAACACUAAUAACAACUUGCAAAGACAAAUAAGGUGUAUGAUUAAUUAUUUAUUUCAAUGAGAUUCACAUUUAAUUUUUUUUUUGGCCACUUUUUAUUUUAGAUUGUGUGUACUUAUUUAUUUAGAUCGUGUGAUGAACCUGAAAAUGGACCCUUUUUCUCAAUAAAAAGAAUUUAUUCAGUUAGCAAAAAAAGUUUAGUCAUCAAAAUUGUGGUAAAUUUUAUUUUUUAAUCAAAAACCUUUAUUAAAAAGUUUAAUCAUUUUUAUAAAAAGACAACUCAUUAAAAAAAUUCAUCAAGAGACAAAAAAAAGUGAAAUACCUUUAUACAAACUUGAUUCACAAUAGUGGAUCCAUAACAUAUUGUCGAUAAUACAUCUGAAAUAAAAGAUCNNNNNNNNNNNNNNNNNNNNNNNNNNNNNNNNNNNNUAAAAUUAAAACAAUAAUCAAUAGAAAGCCUCACCCAUAUUGGCCAAGACUUUGAUGGGUAGCUAGUAAUUUCUCCAAUAAUGAUUUCACUCUAUUGAUCAAUAAUAACAUUUAUUUGGUACUUCAUCGAUUUGAUUUUAUCAUAUGAAAAUAGCAUGAUAGAUAAUAGAUUGUAUUUAAAAAGUAAAAUGUUUCUUUGCCAAAAAAAAAAAGUAAAAUAUUUCAUCGCAACCCCAAUCAAAUAACACAAUUAGAGAGAAAAAAAUAGAGAUGAUAAUGAUGGUGUGAAGAAUAUGACAUUUUGGUGAUGUGAUGCAAAGAGAGAUGAAAAAAAAUGAGAUAGUGAAUGAGAGAAAUGCAAUGGAUUUUAUAGAAAAUCGAAACCCAUGAGUUAUUUCACAAGAAGUUUAAUCUAUAUAAGGGUAUUUAUAUACGGAUGAUAAUAUCUUUAGUCAAACUUCGUUUUUAAAUAUAGUAAUAUUUUUAUUUCAAUAAUAAAUUUGGUCAAAAAAGAAAAGUCUACAUCAUUAUCAAUAUUUUUUGGUCAAAAAAGUUAAUAUUGGUAAAAAGAAAUGGUUGUUUUAGUCAAAUUUUGUAUAUAAAACUAAUUACUUUAUCCGUUUUUUUAAGUGUCGUUUUAGAGAAGAAAAAUAUAUAUUUUUAUUUAAUUGUCAUUUUAAUAAGUCUAUUUCAUCGUUUAAAAAAUUCAGAUUCAAUGGUUCACAUUUUAGGUCUAAAUUUUAAAUUUAUAUGACCAAAAAUGCCCUUUUUUGUGUGUCACGUGUUUUUUACACAAUUACACAAUAGAUAUUCAUGUUUGAAGCACGUUAGAAUAUCAAGAUAACUGUCAUGUGAGCUUAACUCAGUUGGUAGAAUAUUGUAUUGUGUAUGCAAGGAGUUGGGGUUCGAACCCCGGUCAUCCCAGUUAUUCACCUUGAGAAUGAAAUAUUUAGCCACUAGACUACUUGAAUUCACUAAAAAGUCAUGGGAAACUAAAUAGUUAAGUGUGUUGUUAGCAACACCCCAUAUUUGAACAAACACAGCACUUACCACCAAAUUUCCAAAAUACACCUAUCACAUUUUUUCAGAAAAAAUAGUUACUCAUAUCACUUGAAAACCACACUUGGCCAUCUAUCUUUAAUCAAUUUCUCAAAAAUUGAUUUCCGGAACAAUGAUUAUAUAUUUUUUACCUUGUGUGAAGUUUUAUUUUUGAACAAAGUCCAGGUAAUAUGCAUUAUGCAGGCUAUAGUAUUUUACAUUGACAUAUGAUGAUAGCCUUCUAUUUUAUAAUGUCAUAUAACUCAUUUUUUAUGUGUUGUGCGGUUACUAUUUGGUUCGAUGUAAUGAUCCACUUCAGUGUUUAAGGCUCUCCUGAGAGUACCAGUAGUGAUAACAAAGUUUGGUUCGACUUGGUGAAGAAACAGUGGACCUAGUGUUGGGUCAAGGAUGCACGGAGUCUCACACUUUUUUGAGAGAGAAUGUUAUGUGAUGUAGAAGUCACAUUGGAUGAAAGAGUAGAUAUUAAAUAACAUAUAAGUAAAAAGAUAUGUACAUCGAAUAUCAUAAAGUUUAGCUGAAUAUAUGUUGUCUGUUAAAGAAUCUCAAACAUAUACUGACUUGAGUUUCGACUCACAAAAGUCGAUCUCCUAGUCCACUCGGGAACAAUUAUUAUUCUAUUGAAUGUAUGAGAUUUGAAUAGAAAAUUAUCCAAACAUUUGACAACCUUGUCAAUACACGCCUAUUUUCCUACAACAAGAAAUUUUAGUUUUUAUGUAGUAUGUAUUCCAUAAAUCCAUGGUAAGCCAAAUCUCUUUACACCUUAGCCAAAAAAAAUAUAAUCAUAGCUCUAUAAUGCAUUGACACUGGAAAUAACUUAUAUGCAAAUUACAAACAUAUAUAUUUCUAAUAUAAGUGAGAAAUUAAGAAGAGGAAUGAGGCAAACUACUUUCCAAAUAGUUUCCUGCGCCGAACCGAUGACUUGACUCGCAAGCCAGAUGCUUCACCGAUGACAAUAUCAUUUACCAAAUCCUUAAAUAUCAAUCUCUCAACAUCCAACACAAUUCCAGGUAUUUCACCAUUGAAAUCUUCCCAACAUACUGAACCAUGUAUCACAUCUUCACACAACAUGCUUUUUAGACUAUCAUCUUCUUCAUCGUCUUCUAAGCUGCAUUCAGUUUUCCUGGCUUGAACUUUUUCUAUCUCAAAGCAUAGUUCUUUAAGAAGCUUUUGAGAACUGAGGUUUUUCUUUGUGAGUUUGAUUGGCUGAAACCAUGGCUCGGGAGAGUAACCUAGUUUUGCAACAAGAAUUUCGUUCACGGCAUCAAAGAUGAGUUUUCGGUGAAAUUUCUCUGUAGUUUGCUUCGAGAAAGUAGCUUUUCCAUCAAAG